rnacentral:ncRNA from 1 species
ACAGUACAAACUGAGCAGGCGAUGAAACCAUGUGGUUUCUUAAAGCCGGGCUGGCAACAGCAGCAGAUUGAAUUUUUUCACAUCUGUGGGACAGUA